GACGAACGCAGGCGGCGUGCCUAAUACAUGCAAGUAGAACGCUGAAGGAGGAGCUUGCUCUUCUGGAUGAGUUGCGAACGGGUGAGUAACGCGUAGGUAACCUGCCUGGUAGCGGGGGAUAACUAUUGGAAACGAUAGCUAAUACCGCAUAAUAUUGAUUAUUGCAUGAUAGUCAAUUAAAAGGUGCAAUUGCAUCACUACCAGAUGGACCUGCGUUGUAUUAGCUAGUUGGUGAGGUAACGGCUCACCAAGGCGACGAUACAUAGCCGACCUGAGAGGGUGAUCGGCCACACUGGGACUGAGACACGGCCCAGACUCCUACGGGAGGCAGCAGUAGGGAAUCUUCGGCAAUGGACGGAAGUCUGACCGAGCAACGCCGCGUGAGUGAAGAAGGUUUUCGGAUCGUAAAGCUCUGUUGUAAGAGAAGAACGAGUGUGAGAGUGGAAAGUUCACACUGUGACGGUAUCUUACCAGAAAGGGACGGCUAACUACGUGCCAGCGGCCGCGGUAAUACGUAGGUCCCGAGCGUUGUCCGGAUUUAUUGGGCGUAAAGCGAGCGCAGGCGGUUAGAUAAGUCUGAAGUUAAAGGCUGUGGCUUAACCAUAGUACGCUUUGGAAACUGUUUAACUUGAGUGCAAGAGGGGAGAGUGGAAUUCCAUGUGUAGCGGUGAAAUGCGUAGAUAUAUGGAGGAACACCGGUGGCGAAAGCGGCUCUCUGGCUUGUAACUGACGCUGAGGCUCGAAAGCGUGGGGAGCAAACAGG
rnacentral:rRNA from 1 species